GACGAACGCUGGCGGCGUGCUUAACACAUGCAAGUCGAACGGAAAGGCCCUGCUUGCAGGGUGCUCGAGUGGCGAACGGGUGAGUAACACGUGGGUGAUCUGCCCCUUACUUUGGGAUAAGCCUGGGAAACUGGGUCUAAUACUGGAUAGGACCAUGCUGUAGGUGGUGUGGUGGAAAGAUUAGUUUCGGUAAGGGAUGAGCUCGCGGCCUAUCAGCUUGUUGGUGGGGUAAUGGCCUACCAAGGCGUCGACGGGUAGCCGGCCUGAGAGGGUGGACGGCCACAUUUGGACUGAGAUACGGCCCAGACUCCUACGGGAGGCAGCAGUGGGGAAUAUUGCACAAUGGGCGCAAGCCUGAUGCAGCGACGCCGCGUGGGGGAUGACGGCCUUCGGGUUGUAAACUCCUUUCAGCCAUGACGAAGCCCUUGUGGUGACGGUAGUGGUAGAAUAAGCACCGGCUAACUACGUG
rnacentral:rRNA from 1 species